UGCCCCAUGGCUGAGUUGGUUACAGCGUCCGACUGUUAGAUCACCAUGUGUGUUCGUGCUGUGCAUCGGAAGGUCGUGAGUUCGAGCCUCACUGGGGCAG